GCCGAUAUAGCUCAGUUGGUAGAGUUUCGCAUUCGUAACGCGAAGGUCAUAGGUUCGAAUCCUAUUAUCGGCACCA
rnacentral:tRNA from 2 species